AACCAUUGAGCAGCUAUUGCUUUAAGGAAGAAGAGAAAAAAAAUUGUAAAUAACUUUUUGACAAAAUGCAACAGUCAAUAAAUAAUGGCUAUAACAGUUGAUGACAUCUGUAAUAGCGAUUGAAGUGGUUGUGUUAUGUAAUGACCUAUACAUAGCUGUAGCUCAAAAUACUAUUUCACAUCACUUUUUUAUUAAUCCAUGACCAUCAGGACAGUAAAUAGCAUAAUGUUGCAGAGCAUUCACCAUUUCCACAUCUUACUAUGAUGAGGAACAUCAACUCUGUUUUAUCACUUUG
rnacentral:misc_RNA from 1 species